GACGAACGCUGGCGGCGUGCUUAACACAUGCAAGUCGAACGGAAAGGCGCUGCUUUUGUGGGGUGCUCGAGUGGCGAACGGGGGAGUAACACGUGAGUAUCCUGCCCUUGACUGUGGGAUAACUUCAGGAAACUGGGGCUAAUAUCGGGUAGAAGCUCCUGCUGCAUGGGGGGCGUUGGAAAGUUUCGGCGGUGGGGGAUGGACUCGCGGCUUAUGAGCUGGUUGGUGGGGUAGUGGCUUACAAAGGCUUUGACGGGUAGCCGGCCUGGGAGGGUGACCGGCGACCUUGGGACUGAGAGACGGCCCAGACUCCUACGGGAGGCAGCAGUGGGGAAUAUUGCACAAUGGGCGGAAGCCUGAUGCAGCAACGCCGCGUGCGGGAUGACGGCCUUCGGGUUGUGAACCGCUUUCGCCGGUGACGAAGCGUGAGUGACGGUAAUGGGUAAAGAAGCACCGGCUAACUACGUG
rnacentral:rRNA from 1 species